AACGAACGCUGGCGGCAUGCCUAACACAUGCAAGUCGAACGAGACCUUCGGGUCUUGUGGCGCACGGGUGCGUAACGCGUGGGAAUCUGCCCUUGGGUUCGGAAUAACAGUUGGAAACGACUGCUAAUACCGGAUGAUGACGUAAGUCCAAAGAUUUAUCGCCCAGGGAUGAGCCCGCGUAGGAUUCGCUAGUUGGUGGGGUAAAGGCCUACCAAGGCGACGAUCCUUAGCUGGUCUGAGAGGAUGAUCAGCCACACUGGGACUGAGACACGGCCCAGACUCCUACGGGAGGCAGCAGUGGGGAAUAUUGGACAAUGGGCGAAAGCCUGAUCCAGCAAUGCCGCGUGAGUGAUGAAGGCGUUAGGGUUGUAAAGCUCUUUUACCCGGGAUGAUAAUGACAGUACCGGGAGAAUAAGCCCCGGCUAACUACGUG
rnacentral:rRNA from 1 species